AGUACAGUAUGUUGUUCUUCUUUUCUCUAGUCCCUCAAUUAAUCAACUUUUAUUCGCGAGGGGAUGAGUCAGCCGGCCGUCCGGGCGAUGUAAACAAACUGAAGAUAGGACUCGGAAAACUCAGAAAACAACACGACAGUGGGACUCGGGUGUUACACCCAUUGUAGACAGUCAUGACUCACAGAGUUAUUUUCAGAGGAUAUACUUGAUUUCUAUUAUAUUUAAGUGUGAAAAAUCACAUAUAAAGCCUUUAAUUUUGCAUAUCUGAAGACCUUCCUGUGGGACUUUCCCAGACUUAGUGGCAAAAUUGGUGACAUAUAAACCCGGUUGCUCUGACCCACACUAAAUAUUAACAAGAAAAGCAUAUACAAUAUUGGGAAGAAAUCUAGUUUGAAGGAUAAUUGUUGUCGACAGUAUCUGGUUUCUCACUGUCUUUUGAGUAUUUUCAGUCAAAUGUCCUCACAUGAUCUAAAUUUCCUCAAAUGUAUGAAUACUUCAUUGUCACAUAAUACAAAUACAUAGUGAAGGAGGGGUCCCUUUCUUUUUAUUUCUUGUUGAUGCUUAUGUCGAGGCAACUUGGGACGCCACUUGUUCAUCCAAUCCUCUUAUUCCCUCACAAACUCGUCCACUCAACGUCUGACUGCAUCAGUUAACUCAUAGAGAGUGUGGUGCUCAGGCCUCAUGGUCAAGAUUUGUAUUCGGUCUACAGCUGCUGUCUGCUGCCCCCACAACUUGCCUUGCACUUACUGAGAUUAACACAACAAGUUUUCAAACGUCACUAGUGCAGUGCUCGAUCAGAGCUGGCCGAUUGCUUUGAUCCCAGAAGUGUUGGUAUCAGUAUUCUCAAAAAUGUUCAUCCGAUGGAUUUCACACUUUAUAUUGCACUCCCCUUUUUACCUCACAAAAUCACUCAACAUGUCAGAUUAAACGUUCAUCAGAUAUUGGAAAGACAGUCCUACAUACAGAGAUUCCUGUGUGUAUGAAAUGGUAAAUGGACUUGAGCUGUUCUAAUCUUUUGACUAUACUCAAAGCACUCUUACACUGCAGGUCACUCCUACCCAUUCACAGGUUGCUAUGUAAAGAGAUUAUCAGAAGUAACCCCAUUCAUACUUAUCAUACACAGCGGGAGCAUCUUGGUGUUAAGUGUCUUGCCCAAAGACACAUCAGACAUGUGGCUGCAGGAGCUGUGGACCCAACCCUCGACCUUCCGGUCUACCAACUGAGCCCCAGCCGCCCCAUACAAUAACAUGAACCUUUCUUGUAGCAGCUGCUCAUGUGGUCAGGCCAACCUAUCUAAGGCUGAGCAGGGUUCAAAGUGUUACAUGUCUUCAUAUCAGUAUGCAUCUUCAGUACUCGUUGGAUACUGUUCAUCUAUCAAAGUGUUUCAUGGGAGUUUUCUUCUUGACAUAAAGAACAUAUUCUGAAGUGAAGUCACUAGAUAUCUGUAAUGUUUGUAAAGUUCUGAUAAACCACAUAGUUCAUAUUUAUAUAAGAGAGACGAGCCGUUUGAUGAAUGUGUUUCUAUUAAAGUCUUAUGGACCGUGACCAGCCUGUAACUUAAUAAAAGUUUUAUCUACAGAAGUCUCUGUGUGAUGUUAUAAUGCUGCAAACAGCAAGAGACAUGGAGUCACUUUGUUUUUCUUCCACAUUUCAAAUGAAGUACAACACCAUAUACCUAUAGUACACCCCAGAUCUUUAUCUCGGGUUGAUAUGGAGAAAGAAAAUGUUCAAAAUAAACAUUUGAUUAUGA